CGCGUAGGCGGCGUGGUACGGUUCGGGUGAAAUCCCACGGCUUAACCGUGGAACUGCCCGGGCAACGGCCAUGCUAGACAGCAUCAGGGGAUGGUGGAACUCCGGGUGGAGCGGUGAAAUGCGUAGAUAUCCGGAGGAACGCCGGUGGCGAAAGCGACCAUCUGGGGUGCUUGUGACGCUGAGGCGCGAAAGCUAGGGGAGCGAACG
rnacentral:rRNA from 1 species